GACGAACGCUGGCGGCGUGCUUAACACAUGCAAGUCGAACGGAAAGGCCCUGCUUUUGUGGGUUGCUCGAGUGGCGAACGGGUGAGUAACACGUGAGUAACCUGCCCUUGACUUUGGGAUAACUUCAGGAAACUGGGGCUAAUACCGGAUAGGAGCUCCUGCUGCAUGGUGGGGGUUGGAAAGUUUCGGCGGUUGGGGAUGGACUCGCGGCUUAUCAGCUUGUUGGGGGGGUAGUGGCUUACCAAGGCUUUGACGGGUAGCCGGCCUGAGAGGGUGACCGGCCACAUUGGGACUGAGAUACGGCCCAGACUCCUACGGGAGGCAGCAGUGGGGAAUAUUGCACAAUGGGCGGAAGCCUGAUGCAGCAACGCCGCGUGCGGGAUGACGGCCUUCGGGUUGUAAACCGCUUUCGCCUGUGACGAAGCGUGAGUGACGGUAAUGGGUAAAGAAGCACCGGCUAACUACAUG
rnacentral:rRNA from 1 species